rnacentral:rRNA from 1 species
UCUUGACAUCCUUUGACCACUCUAGAGAUAGAGCUUUCCCUUCGGGGACAAAGUGACAGGUGGUGCAUGGUUGUCGUCAGCUCGUGUCGUGAGAUGUUGGGUUAAGUCCCGCAACGAGCGCAACCCUUAUUGUUAGUUGCCAUCAUUUAGUUGGGCACUCUAGCGAGACUGCCGGUGACAAACCGGAGGAAGGUGGGGAUGACGUCAAAUCAUCAUGCCCCUUAUGACCUGGGCUACACACGUGCUACAAUGGGAAGUACAACGAGUCGCUAGACCGCGAGGUCAUGCAAAUCUCUUAAAGCUUCUCUCAGUUCGGAUUGCAGGCUGCAACUCGCCUGCAUGAAGCCGGAAUCGCUAGUAAUCGCGGAUCAGCACGCCGCGGUGAAUACGUUCCCGGGCCUUGUACACACCGCCCGUCACACCACGAGAGUUUGUAACACCCGAAGUCGGUGAGGUAACCUUUUUGGAGCCAGCCGCCUAAGGUGGGAUAGAUGAUUGGGGUGAAGUCGUAACAAGGUAGCCGUAUCGGAAGGUGCGGCUGGAUCACCUCCUUUCUAAGGAA